rnacentral:rRNA from 1 species
UCGUGAAAACCGGAGGCUUAACCUCAGGCGUGCGGGCGAUACGGGCAGACUGGAGUACUGCAGGGGAGACUGGAAUUCCUGGUGUAGCGGUGGAAUGCGCAGAUAUCAGGAGGAACACCGGUGGCGAAGGCGGGUCUCUGGGCAGUAACUGACGCUGAGGAGCGAAAGCGUGGGGAGCGAACAGGAUUAGAUACCCUGGUAGUCCACGCCGUAAACGGUGGGUACUAGGUGUGGGUUUCCU